rnacentral:rRNA from 1 species
UACAGAGGUGGCAAGCGUUGUUCGGAAUUACUGGGCGUAAAGGGCGCGUAGGCGGUCUUGUAAGUCUUGUGUGAAAUCCCUCGGCUUAACUGAGGAACUGCACGGGAUACUGCGAGACUUGAGUUCGGGAGAGGGAAGCGGAAUUCCGGGUGUAGCGGUGAAAUGCGUAGAUAUCUGGAGGAAUACCGGUGGCGAAGGCGGCAUCCUGGACCGGCAUUGACGCUGAUGAGCGAAAGCUAGGGGAGCAAACGGG